rnacentral:rRNA from 1 species
UUGACCUCGAAUCAGGUAGGAAUACCCGCUGAACUUAAGCAUAUCAAUAAGCGGAGGAAAAGAAACCAACAGGGAUUGCCCCAGUAACGGCGAGUGAAGCGGCAACAGCUCAAAUUUGAAAUCUGGCCUCUGGCCCGAGUUGUAAUUUGCAGAGGAUGCUUCGGGCGCGGUGCCUUCCAAGUCCCCUGGAACGGGGCGCCGGAGAGGGUGAGAGCCCCGUACGGUUGGCGGCCAAGCCUGUGUGAAGCUCCUUCGACGAGUCGAGUAGUUUGGGAAUGCUGCUCUAAGCGGGAGGUAGACCCCUUCUAAAGCUAAAUACCGGCCAGAGACCGAUAGCGCACAAGUAGAGUGAUCGAAAGAUGAAAAGCACUUUGAAAAGAGGGUUAAACAGCACGUGAAAUUGUUGAAAGGGAAGCGCUUGUGACCAGACGUGCGCCGGGGUGUUCAGCGGGCGUUCUCGCCCGUGCACUCGCCUCGGCGCAGGCCAGCGUCGGUUUGGGCAGAGGGAUAAAGGCGCCUGGAAUGUGGCUCCCCCGGGAGUGUUAUAGCCAGGCGUGCCAUGCCUCCGCCCGGACCGAGGUACGCGUUCUGCAAGGACGCUGGCGUAAUGGUUCCCAGCGACCCGUCUUGAAACACGGACCAAGGAGUCGAGGUUUUGCGCGAGUGUUUGGGUGACAAACCCGCACGCGUAAUGAAAGUGAACGUAGGUGAGAGCUUCGGCGCAUCACCGACCGAUCCUGAUGUUUUCGGAUGGAUUUGAGUAAGAGCGUAGGGCCUCGGACCCGAAAGAUGGUGAACUAUGCUUGGAUAGGGUGAAGCCAGAGGAAACUCUGGUGGAGGCUCGCAGCGGUUCUGACGUGCAAAUCGAUCGUCAAAUCUGAGCAUGGGGGCGAAAGACUAAUCGAACCAUCUAGUAGCUGGUUACCGCCGAAGUUUCCCUCAGGAUAGCAGUGUUGUUCUUCAGUUUUAUGAGGUAAAGCGAAUGAUUAGGGACUCGGGGGCGCUAUUUAGCCUUCAUCCAUUCUCAAACUUUAAAUAUGUAAGAAGCCCUUGUUGCUUAAUUGAACGUGGGCAUUCGAAUGUAUCAACACUAGUGGGCCAUUUUUGGUAAGCAGAACUGGCGAUGUGGGAUGAACCAUACGGGGGGUUAAGGUGCCAGAGUAGACGCUCAUCAGACACCACAAAAGGCGUUAGCACAUCUUGACAGCAGGACGGUGGCCAUGGAAGUCGGAAUCCGCUAAGGACUGUGUAACAACUCACCUGCCGAAUGUGCUAGCCCUGAAAAUGGAUGGCGCUCAAGCGUCUCAC